rnacentral:rRNA from 1 species
UACGAAGGGGGCUAGCGUUGCUCGGAAUUACUGGGCGUAAAGGGCGCGUAGGCGGUUCUAUAAGUCAGGCGUGAAAUUCCUGGGCUUAACCUGGGGGCUGCGCUUGAGACUGUGGGACUUGAGGUCAGAAGAGGGUCGUGGAAUUCCCAGUGUAGAGGUGAAAUUCGUAGAUAUUGGGAAGAACACCGGUGGCGAAGGCCGCGACCUGGUCUGAUACUGACGCUGGGGCGCGACAGCGUGGGGAGCAAACAGG